GCUGCAGGGCCGGGGCGGCUGUGCGAGAGCGGCCCUAGCCCCGGCCCCGCUGCCCGCACACGCAUGCACGGCAGCAUCCGGCGCUUCCCCGCCCCGCAAGUUACUUGGGCGCUGCGGGCACCCCCUGCCCCGCGCAAGCAGCGGGGCCGCCUCUAUUCUGUGGUGAUCCCCCUGUGCGUACAAAGGAAACUCCGCUAGCAUCCUCUGGUAUUAGCCUCCAACUGUGCCGAUGUCAUUUUCCAGCCAGCGCCUACAGCAGUGCGAUAAGGAGGGUGCAACUGUGAGGAGAAUAUACAUUUUGAAAGUUCUUGGGAAUUUGUUUAUUGUCUUAAACUUCUCUAGCUUUCAGCAGGUCCUGAAGAAUGUGUUAGCAUCUCCUCAGUGUCAACCAGCUGGCUCAGUGGAGGUUUUCAGUUCAGCUGUGUUGGCACAACAGAUACCUUAUCACAUCUUUCUUUCACAUAGAUUAACAAUUGAGUCUGUGUAAUAUGCUUCCAUUUUUCAGCAGUACAGAUACAAGGAGUAUUAAAAUAAUUAUCUAUUAGAAAUAUUAUUUUAAAUAUCUUUAUUAAAGACAAUCUAGCCAUUUUCCCCUAACUUCUUUCAUCAGUUUGUAAAGUAAACCAGUAUGAAAUGUUAAAAAGAAACUUGUAUCACCUUAGUGAUAUAUAAAAUGUAUUUUUAUUCCUCAUUGCUCAAUAUAAAAUUGAAAGGAAAUGAGAAAACAGUUCCAUCUAAUUUUUCACAAAGGGGACAGUUUCUGACUACUUCUAGGUUAUGCACCGAAUGGUUACUUUAGUAUCACAUGUAAGUACUAAACAGCCCAUCUUUUCAUCCAAGGAAUUAAAAUUUUGCUUUGUAGGAUUUCUGUAAGAUUUCUACAUGCAUAUGAGCUGAGCACUCACUGGGAAGAAGAAAUGUAACUAGAUUGUCCUUAGAAAGAAGGCCUGCUCCAAAUAACUCAGUUGUAUUGGGGACCUUGAGAUCCAUGACACAAAGGGUUAUCUCCUAAACUCAAGGACUGGCAAAAUGACACAACCAAGGCCACUGCUGUGCAUUAAUAUGUGCACUGUAAGGGAGAUGCAGCCUCAGAAGGUGGUUAUGAAGAGACAAAUUGUGAUGGUUGCAGCUUGGCCCUAAUGCUACUCUGCCUGGAGGGUACUUUGGAAUUGGGACUAUUGGCCAGGACCAGGUAAAUUAGUACAGUUAUCCUAAUACAAUGAGAUUGAAUAUGCAGGAAAUUGGAAGACACAAGAAAGCAAGCUCUUGAAAUUGAUACAACAGCAAACCAAAGAUCCACAUCUUUUCAGAUUUCUUGAGUAAAAAAACACAGUUCCAGCAAUGAGGGAGACACUGCAGAUGUUCUGAGUUCCUGCAUCUCUCCAUAAGCACCAUAUUCCCAUGUCUCAUGUUUUUCACACAUGUACUUCUUUUGUGACAAAUCUGCUUUUGUGAAAAAAUCUGCUCAGCUUCACAUCUUUCUCUCCUGCUUCUUCCCUCCCAAGAGGGAGGCUGACACUUUCUGUCUGUGUGUACUCCAAACCCCAUCUCCUUCUCUCGGAACUUGGUACAUUUUCCUUCUUGUAGUACAAUGGUCAAAAGACUUCCCUUGGUCAAAGUGUGCUCGUUUGAGUUCCUUGAACUCUUAACAUCCUUUUUUUCAAAAGCCAUUUCCUGCUCUUUGUUCUUUCUUUUUUUUUUUUUUCUGGGAUUUUUCCAUGACACAUCUCCAACUCUUACAGACCACUGGGUGCAAGGGCAGUCAUACAUUUCUUCUAAGACAGUUCUUAGUCCUUUUAAAAUGGAAGACUAUUAAUGGCAGUGACUCAGACAUUCUUCCCUUUUCAGGGAGCUAUAUGACACCAGCUGUGGUAGAAGAUUGCUGAUUCACUACAAUAUUAACCUUUCCACGGUACAGCAAUUUUAUAGCUUUAUCCAGCAUUCAUAAAUUUGAAAUAAAUAGCUUUUCCUACCUGUCAUUCUUAGUUAUUUAGGAUAAGCUUUGGCCUCACAUGAGUUUGUAGAAUUGUUUGAUGCAGGCCUAAAUACAAAUAUGACUACUGCCUAGAAAUGUGGGGAAAUUAUAUGUUAGUGCCAAAAUGCGACACCUAGAUCACGUGAGAAAGAAUACAAAAUACAGUGCUCCAGUGCUUUGCAUUUGGCAUCACUUAUACAGGUCCAGGAAAAGGUUUCCACAACCAUUUCACUUGGUGGCUGCUAACAAUGGUGUGGCUCAACAGCAAUGCUACAAAGUCCAGCCCAGAAUUUUUUUCUGCUAUAUGUGCUGUGUCAUGAUGAAUGCCCCACAGAAAGGAAAAAAAGAUGUCUCUGUAGGAAAUGGGUUGCUUAAAGCAAUUAAAAAAAAAAUAAAUUAUUUCAUUUAAUUUCCCAGGCAAAGGAAAUGUGGAUAUUUGUUUGCAGAAACAUAAAUAGAUAGGAUUAAAAAUUAUGAACUGCAGCUGUCCGAUAACUUACCUGCAAUAAAACUUAUGUAAACAGAUGCCAUUCCAUGGGAAAUGUCUUCUCUCUGGUUGACUGUCAGCCUUUCAUGACUCAGAAGACACACAAACAUCAUGAAACUAAAAUGAAUCAUUAUUUUUCCAGUGGAGAAAACUGACAAAAAGGAAUUCACUUGUACCAACUGCAGCAAACCAAUGAAAGAAUUGGGGCAGACUCCCAAGGUUUACGCAGCAUCAUGGAGUAAGGUCAGGUUCAGUUUCCCAUUAAGUGAAGUGCUGUGGGUAUUAGAAGUGCUAAAGAGUCAAAGUGCUGGGACUUUGCUGGGCUCCCCAAAUGUUUCAGGGAAGAAGCUGGUCACUCAAGGAACGGGAAUACCACACCUGUGGGGGAAAAGUGAAAACAGCAGAGAACCUAUUUUAGACUGAUGCAUUAUUUGCUCUUCACAAAUUUUUUUUCAGCCCAGAAUUCAAGUAUGAUGGGAGAAUUAUGGUUUCUAGAUUAAAAGAUUUGUGUUUUGACUUUGCCUGAGACCGCUGGGUUGGAGUGUGGGAUAUGAAGGACUGCGUGAGACCAGGUAGAGACUUUACCUUUUCCCUACUGCAGAUGUGUAUUUUGAGAGCUGGCCUUUGUUAUGAGGUCAGUGCCUACACAGGUAGACCAACUUUCAUUCUUGGAUGAAUUCUUAAAAGCCUGUCGCUGAGUUUUGCCAGUUGGCUGGUUUUGUUUUGUGCUUUCUUCAUGGGCCAAGUUUACCAAAGGAAAGUGUCUACUUUUUCAUUAGAUUGCCUAUAGUUACAGGCUUGUGCUGAGAGCAUGGACAAGUAUCUGGGAAUUAUGAGCCAGUGAAGGAUGACUGAUGCAAAGCAAUUUUUGUUGCUGGUUGAAUGUAAAUGAAGACUUGCAUUUACUGUGGAAAAAGAGAAUUUAGGGUUACUGUGAUUUCUUUCAGUUCUGUCUCUUACUUUUUCUUUUUUUUUUUUUCAGUCACAUGGUUCUUUCACUCAGGGGGAACACUGUUCCAUUGUUGUGAUGUGCCCAAGCAAAAUACAGAGCCACUUCAAGGCUGCUUUAAUUGACAGAGAAGCUUCUGAUUAUUUUCUAUUAUCCCUGGAAUAUAAAGAAUACAGUAUUACAGUACAACAUGGGCCACUCCCGAGAAACUGACAGGGCCUUCAUCACAUCUUAAGCAGUGCAUGGUUCUUACAGCAGGCAGGUAUAGAUCCCUUUCCUGUUUCUCUAGGAAAACUUUUUACGUGGGUAUUUGCACUUCAGAUCUUCUGCGCAUUGCUAGUUCAGCCCAAUGAAGCUUUGUGGUUACUGACAAGAAAACCUGUGGAAUAGACUCAUACCAGACACUCAGUACUCCCAGUUCCAUACAUCAGUGCUCCCAGUUCAUCAUGAAGCCAAUAACUCCUGCUCAGCUUUUUGCUGAGUGAUAGAUAUGUGUGUGGCAUUCACAUUUGCACAGCUGUUGGAGGCUCCUGCAUAAGUACAUUAGGAAUGCCAUUACAGUUUGUGUAUUUACUUAUUUGCCUGAUCUAUCAUUGAGGUAUCUAGACACUCCCCCGCCCAUCUAUCAGAAGACUGGAAAUGACACCCUGCUCAAGUCCAAUUUUCCUCCUACUGCAAAUAUACAUAUAUAUAAAACUUGUUGUGAACUGAUAGAGCUCCAGCUAGCUAAAGUCACCUAGAGCAGGUUGCACAGGAAUGUGUCCAGGUGGAUUUUGACUCCACAAUCUUCCUGGACAGCCUGUUCCAGUGCUCUGACACCCUCAAUGUAAAUAAAUUCUUCUUUGUGUUGA